CCUACGGGAGGCAGCAGUAGGGAAUAUUGCUCAAUGGGGGAAACCCUGAAGCAGCAACGCCGCGUGGAGGAUGAAGGUUUUCGGAUUGUAAACUCCUUUUGUUAGGGAAGAUAAUGACGGUAUCUAACGAAUAAGCACCGGCUAACUCCGUGCCAGCAGCCGCGGUAAUACGGAGGGUGCAAGCGUUACUCGGAAUCACUGGGCGUAAAGAGCGCGUAGGCGGGAUAGCAAGUCAGAUGUGAAAUCCUAUGGCUUAACCAUAGAACUGCAUUUGAAACUGGUAUUCUAGAGUAUGGGAGAGGUAGGUGGAAUUCGUGGUGUAGGGGUAAAAUGCGUAGAGAUAAAGAGGAAUACUCAUUGCGAAGGCGACCUGCUAGAACAUAACUGACGCUGAUGCGCGAAAGCGUGGGGAGCAAACAGGAUUAGAUACCCCUGUAGUC
rnacentral:rRNA from 1 species